UACACAAAACAUGGGGCUUAAACUCACGACCCCGAGAUCAAGAGUCACGUGCUCCUCCGAAGGAACCAGCCAGGCCCCCCCCCCCCGAACUUCGCAGCCUCUUGACUGCCCCCGUCCCUGCUACCCCACAUCCAGUCUCCCCAAGGCCCACUGUGGCCUUCCCAAAGGGCACAUGUGGCCUCAGGGCACAGGGCAUGCCCUUUGGGCAGCGGCUCCCAGGCCCUCCUGAGCAGCCCUUCCUUGCCCUCUGCCCCCCCAGGAUGACUGAAUGGCUGUGUCUGCCUCCCAUCACCUCCCCUCCUCCCCUCCUCCCCUUCGCCCCCCACACCAGACACCCCUCUCCGAGAAGCUGCCCCCCAGGGCCCCAGCCUGGCUCGGCUGCCACUCCCUGGGGUCCCCAAGGCCCCUAGGACGUCCCCCUCCCUCUGCAUGGAUCACGUCUCUCUGGCAUCCUCUGUGCCUGUCUGCACCUCCCCCGGGGCGGGAUCCUGUAUGCUGCCCCUCCCCCCUUCACCUCCAGGAUCCGGUGAAGGGCCUGGCUUGGCAUGGGGGCAAAGGAAAUCUCCGUGGGAGAGGGGCUGGAGCAUCAGCGGGGCCAGGACCCCCUCCCCGCUCCUCCCCUCUCUCAGCCAGGGCGGGGCAGGGCCAGGGAUGGUCACCAUGUUGGAAUCAGAAGGGGAUUUUUCACUCCGAGAUUAAAUAUCUAAAUAAGGUAGGGCCCGGAAACUGUCCACGGUAGCUGGUGGCAGAUCAAAUGUGACCUGGGGCCCUGCCCGAAUAAGGAGACAGUUGCCCAGGCAAUAGAGCCAGGAUUUUGUGUUGGCAGGGCUGACAGGACGGGAGAUCCAGAGCCAGGAAACCUGACAUUCAGGACACAUGCCCGGGAGAGAGGGAAGGACAGAGCUGAGCAGUCCAGCUCAAAGGAUCUUGAAAGGGCAGGGGAAAGCCUUCCCCCCUGAUAAGUCAUGACCAUUCACGUCCCUGCACUGAGGUCACGUUCAAAUUGAAAAAAGAAGAAGAAGGAAAACAACCCC